GAAUCUUGGACAAUGGGGGCAACCCUGAUCCAGCGACGCCGCGUGGGUGAUGAAGGCCUUCGGGUUGUAAAGCCCUUUUGCCGGGGACGAUUAUGACGGUACCCGGCGAAUAAGCACCGGCUAACCCCGUGCCAGCAGCCGCGGUAAGACGGAGGGUGCUAGCGUUGUUCGGAAUUACUGGGCGUAAAGGGCGCGUAGGCGGCCUGGUCAGUCGGAUGUGAAAGCCCGGGGCUCAACCCCGGAACGGCAUCCGAGACGGCCAGGCUGGAGACCGGGAGAGGAGGGUGGAAUAGCCAGUGUAGAGGUGAAAUUCGUAGAUAUUGGCUGGAACACCGGUGGCGAAAGCGGCUCUCUGGCCCGGUUCUGACGCUGAGGCGCGAAAGCGUGGGGAGCAAACAGG
rnacentral:rRNA from 1 species